rnacentral:tRNA from 14 species
CGGCCUGCUGUCGGUGCCGGUCUUCAAAUCCCUGACGGGCUUGCCGCC